GAGAGGGGAAAGGCAUAUAAUUGAAAAAUUGAAGGUUGAAACUGAGUGUUAUAGGGUAAGAUUACUCAAAAGAAAGCAAAGAAGAAGAAGUGAAAAAUACCGCAGACCGUUGAGCGGUCCAUUUUACCGCUGAGCGGUUGCGGCGCUAUGAGUCUCGUCUUUUCUUAAAAGUUGAGCGGUUUUUGAAGUUCUUCACUUUCAAACUCUUCUUUGCAUUUUUCCUGAGCGGUCUCCCUAAGCCCUAGCACUCUCCUUUCACUUCAAGAGCUUUUUAGAAAGAUUUCCUCACUUUCUCAUCAC
rnacentral:lncRNA from 1 species